rnacentral:rRNA from 1 species
UACGUAGGGUGCAAGCGUUAAUCGGAAUUACUGGGCGUAAAGCGUGCGCAGGCGGUGAUGUAAGACAGUUGUGAAAUCCCCGGGCUCAACCUGGGAACUGCAUCUGUGACUGCAUUGCUGGAGUGCGGCAGAGGGGGAUGGAAUUCCGCGUGUAGCAGUGAAAUGCGUAGAUAUGCGGAGGAGCACCGAUGGCGAAGGCAAUCCCCUGGGCCUGCACUGACGCUCAUGCACGAAAGCGUGGGGAGCAAACAGG